ACGUAGGUGGCAAGCGUUAUCCGGAAUUAUUGGGCGUAAAGCGCGCGUAGGCGGUUUCUUAAGUCUGAUGUGAAAGCCCCCGGCUCAACCGGGGAGGGUCAUUGGAAACUGGGGAACUUGAGUGCAGAAGAGGAGAGUGGAAUUCCAUGUGUAGCGGUGAAAUGCGCAGAGAUAUGGAGGAACACCAGUGGCGAAGGCGGCUCUCUGGUCUGUAACUGACGCUGAUGUGCGAAAGCGUGGGGAUCAAACAG
rnacentral:rRNA from 1 species